rnacentral:misc_RNA from 1 species
AAGAAUUCCAACAGUCUGUACGCCCACCAUUACACUUCAUGGAUUAUUUAUUUAUUCCCCAACAUUACAAUACAAUCAACAGAGUGACACUGGCAUCCUAUCUGUCUCAGUUAGACAAAUACAGAGAUGAAUAGUAUUUCAUCUAAGCUAACAUUCAUAUUUAAGAAGACAACAUCUGAACUCCCAAAGAAUGCUUAUGGAAAGGACAGGGACCCUAAGGCCUAUAGAGAUGAGAACUGUUCAGAAAUGGGUAUCAUCAACCAAAGUCGAUCCAAAAAAGAAUUUUAUGCCCUAAGAACAACAGAAUUUAUUAGUAACAAGAAACCUAAAGAAGGAAUUAGCAUGUAGGAAAUGAAAUGGGUUCCAUCUAAGAAUUUUAGUAGAGAAUUCAAAUCUAAAAAGAAUGAGUACUCUAUCAGGAGCUAGAAUCCGCCUGCUGGGCCAAUUAUAUGCUACUAAAUGAGCUUGUAGUAGCAGUCUCUUCCAGAGAGAAGAAUCUGAUAGCCUUUGCCACAGGGACACUUGAAAUGGACAACUAAGCACUCCCCAGUUCUCUCCACACAAACAGCUUCUUCAUAUUCUAUCACUGAACCAGCCUUCGUUGCAUUGGCAGUAUUGCCCUGAGUGCCUUUAUCUUCUUGUUCAUCUUCGCCCAUCACUCCACCGGGCAUAAGUUCAACACACCACUGAUUCAUUUCCUUCAUGCAAUCUCUCAUUUUCCUCAGCCACUUAUAUUGGGGACUCUCGUCAACAGUCACAUCAUCACAACUCGAUGACCGCGAAAAGCUUUUGUUAGGUGAUGGGUCCGAUACAGUCCUCCUGAGCAUCGGCGGCCGUGGUGGUAAAGAAGCAGCUGCCUUUGACCCGGGCGUUGCCACAGCGGUGGCCCCCACCGUCUUGGCGCUUUCUGGUGGCGAUUGCGGGAGCAGGUUUGCUGAAGAACCCGUGCCGGACCCAGAAUGAGUGUCCAACCCUGCCACUGGAGGACUGUAAGGAUCGGAAUGGCAGCGGCGCAGGACGGGAAGGGAGUUGGUAUGAAUUGGCUUGGCGGGUCCAAAAUUAAGCAAGGAUGAGGUGCAAGGGAGGGUGAUCUUGGAGAAAUCACGGAGUGAAGGACUAGUGGAUGUUAUGUUGGUGUUCUCGUGGGGUUCAAGAAAGAGUUUCUUGGGCUUUUUGGGGAUUUGAUCUUGAGGGUCCAAGGAAGGAGUAAUGAGUUCAGGAGAGCGGCGUUUGUUGUAGGAAGAAAAGACGUUGGUGGAAGGAACAGUAGAACCGGAGCAGCCACAGGCAGUGCAGGGAGUAUGGCAGUUGGUAGCGGUGGCGGAAGUGGUUGUGGUAUUAGCAGAGGAAUUGAAGCUGUCAAGGCGGAGAAGGGUGAAAUCGAUGGAUUCAGGGAGACUUUCCGGGCUGCUUUUGCCGUUAUUGGUGGUGGCGGUUUCCAGCUUUUGAUCGAGUUCACUCAUUUUCUUGAA